CAGAUGGGAAUGAAGAUAUUCAUCAAAUAAAAUUGUCAAAAACCUCCAAAUCAAAUCGAUGAAAUACCAAAGGUAUCCAAAAAUAAUAUGUAUUUUGUUUUUUUGAAAGGAUCCAUAAAUAUUAAAUUAUUAUCCAUUUAAUUGUUAAAUAUUCAAUAUUUAAAUGGUGGCUAACAUUCAUUUGUACAUUACAAAAUUUGAAUGAGCU
rnacentral:lncRNA from 1 species